GUGGGGAAUCUUGCGCAAUGGGCGAAAGCCUGACGCAGCCAUGCCGCGUGAAUGAUGAAGGUCUUAGGAUUGUAAAAUUCUUUCACCGGGGACGAUAAUGACGGUACCCGGAGAAGAAGCUCCGGCUAACUUCGUGCCAGCAGCCGCGGUAAUACGAAGGGGGCUAGCGUUGCUCGGAAUUACUGGGCGUAAAGGGCGCGUAGGCGGACAGCUUAGUCAGAGGUGAAAGCCCAGGGCUCAACCUUGGAAUUGCCUUUGAUACUGGCUGUCUUGAGUUUGGGAGAGGUGAGUGGAACUCCGAGUGUAGAGGUGAAAUUCGUAGAUAUUCGGAAGAACACCAGUGGCGAAGGCGACUCACUGGCCCAAUACUGACGCUGAGGCGCGAAAGCGUGGGGAGCAAACAGGAUUAGAAACCCUUGUAGGCC
rnacentral:rRNA from 1 species